rnacentral:tRNA from 1 species
CGAUCUAUGACUAAAUUAGUAAAGGCAUCGCCGAUGACAGGUGAGGGUGCGGGUUCGAGUCCCGCUAGAACGG